GUUUGACGUUAGCGACAGAAGAAAGCACCGGCUAACUCCGUGCCAGCAGCCGCGGUAAUACGGAGGGUGCGAGCGUUAAUCGGAAUUACUGGGCGUAAAGCGCAUGCAGGUGGUUUGUUUAAGUCAGAUGUGAAAGACCCGGGGCGUCAACCUCGGAAUUGCAUUUGAAACUAGGCAGACUAGAGUACUGUAGAGGGGGGUAGGAAUUUCAGGUGUAGCGGUGAAAUAGCGUAGAGAUCUGAAGGAAUACCGGUGGCGAAGGCGGCCCCCUCGGACAGAUACUGACACUCAGAUGCGAAAGCGUGGGGAGCAAACAGGAUUAGAUACCCUGGUAG
rnacentral:rRNA from 1 species